rnacentral:rRNA from 1 species
GGAUCCAGACUUUGAUUAUGGCUCAUGAUGAACGCUAGCUACAGGCUUAACACAUGCAAGUCGAGGGGAAACGAUAUUGGAAGCUUGCUUCCGAUAGGCGUCGACCGGCGCACGGGUGAGUAACGCGUAUCCAACCUGCCCACCACUUGGGGAUAACCUUGCGAAAGUAAGACUAAUACCCAAUGACGUCUCUAGAAGACAUCUGAAAGAGAUUAAAGAUUUAUCGGUGAUGGAUGGGGAUGCGUCUGAUUAGCUUGUUGGCGGGGUAACGGCCCACCAAGGCGACGAUCAGUAGGGGUUCUGAGAGGAAGGUCCCCCACAUUGGAACUGAGACACGGUCCAAACUCCUACGGGAGGCAGCAGUGAGGAAUAUUGGUCAAUGGGCGAGAGCCUGAACCAGCCAAGUAGCGUGCAGGAUGACGGCCCUAUGGGUUGUAAACUGCUUUUAUAAGGGAAUAAAGUGAGUCUCGUGAGACUUUUUGCAUGUACCUUAUGAAUAAGGACCGGCUAAUUCCGUGCCAGCAGCCGCGGUAAUACGGAAGGUCCGGGCGUUAUCCGGAUUUAUUGGGUUUAAAGGGAGCGUAGGCCGGAGAUUAAGCGUGUUGUGAAAUGUAGACGCUCAACGUCUGCACUGCAGCGCGAACUGGUUUCCUUGAGUACGCACAAAGUGGGCGGAAUUCGUGGUGUAGCGGUGAAAUGCUUAGAUAUCACGAAGAACUCCGAUUGCGAAGGCAGCUCACUGGAGCGCAACUGACGCUGAAGCUCGAAAGUGCGGGUAUCGAACAGGAUUAGAUACCCUGGUAGUCCGCACGGUAAACGAUGGAUGCCCGCUGUUGGUCUGAAUAGGUCAGCGGCCAAGCGAAAGCAUUAAGCAUCCCACCUGGGGAGUACGCCGGCAACGGUGCAACUCAAAGGAAUUGACGG